CAGCGUCUAGACCCAACAGGCUCUUGCUAGUGUGCGAAUGGGAUUGUGUCGUGGUCGAUGUGCUGCCAUGUUAUUCGUUUUCUCUCACCGAGUGAUGAACAUGAACACAUACGCUUGUGGUGACACGGCAUGGUGACGACUUGUGAUUGGACUGCCUCGAGAAGAUGAUGGUGAUGAUAAAGAUAAGAACAAACACCUAUACAGGAGGAAAAAUGCACAAACAGAAAAUGGGAAAGGAAAAAUAAACAAGGAAAUGAUGUAGCGACUACCAAUGGUCCACCAUCAUAGGAAAGGUAGGAAGGACUUCUGCACUGCCCCGCAAUCAGUUAAAUUCCUGGCCAGUCCGCCAAGUAAACGUGAAACCCAACCCUCGCACAUCGAACGUCGAUACCGUGCUCACGUCAAAAGAAGCACUCGAUCAAGCCCCAUCCUGACGCAGGAUAGAUGUCCUCCAUGAUGGCGUCUAAGGUGAAUGCGGUCCGGAACUCGAUUUGAGUUUGAGGCCUCCGCCCUAUAGGUUGUCAUAAGCAAAAACAGAGACUGCCAACAACCACUGUGGCAUGGCACACCAAUCAAGAGGACUGCUUGUUCGACCUUUAUUUGUCGUAUGUCGCCGGAAUGUGGUUUUGCCGCUCACAGAAAGAAAUGCAAUUAUCACAAUAAGAGAGCAAGCGCACUACCGAAGAAGAAGGGAGAAAUAGUUUCGUGUUCCUGCAGGAAACCAUGCAGAUAAAAAUGCUUCGCGAAAGCACGAACCCCCAACGUGUGAAAAUACAUAACUUGGGCUGGGCUCUGUGCGAGUGCUUUUGACAGUGUUGUGACAUCCGCAUAUUCUUGCUUGCUCUUCUGGUGCGUGCUUGCGCUUUGCUUUCUUUCAUAUUGGACGUGGAGGCUGCACAAAUGGCGAGGCGUAACGAAGUAAUGGUGCAUACAAACAGAGAAAUUCUUCAGAGAAGCCAGGGCUACUGCACGCCCUGUUGGACUGGUGCAAACACGGGAUUAAUUAUUGCGUUCUUAGAUUUAGCUAUUUCGAGACCUCUUCCCUGGAUGUGCCUCGUAGGAUGUCUUGUACUCCAAUGUCUGAAAUACACGUGUUUUACUUGUGA